UACCUGGUUGAUCCUGCCAGUAGUCAUAUGCUUGUCUCAAAGAUUAAGCCAUGCAAGUCUAAGUACGAGCUCUCGUACAGUGAAACUGCGAAUGGCUCAUUAAAUCAGUUAUGGUUCAUUUGAUCGUACAGUUUACUUGGAUAACUGUGGUAAUUCUAGAGCUAAUACAUGCGAGAAGCGCCGACCUCGCGGGAGGCGUGCAUUUAUCAGACCAAAAACCGGCCGCGUCUUCGGGCGCGUUCGCCUUGGUGACUCUGGAUAACUUUGCGGAUCGCACGGUCUAGCACCGGCGACGGAUCAUUCAAGUGUCUGCCCUAUCAACUUUCGUCGGUACGGUAUUUGCCUACCGAGGUUCUUACGGGUGACGGGGAAUCAGGGUUCGAUUCCGGAGAGGGAGCCUGAGAAACGGCUACCACAUCCAAGGAAGGCAGCAGGCGCGCAAAUUACCCAUUCCCGACGCGGGGACGUAGUGACGAAAAAUAACAAUGCAGGACUCGUUCGAGGCCCUGUAAUUGGAAUGAGUACACUUUAAAAGCUUUAACGAGUAUCCAUUGGAGGGCAAGUCUGGUGCCAGCAGCCGCGGUAAUUCCAGCUCCAAAAGUAUAUAUUUAAGUUGUUGCGGUUAAAAAGCUCGUAGUUGGAUUUUGGGCGCAGGCGGCCGGUCCGUCGCAAGGCGUGUACUGGACGUCCUGGCCUUCCCUCCGGUUCUCCGCCGGUGCUCUUGACUGAGUGUCGGCGGCGGCCGGAACGUUUACUUUGAAAAAAUUAGAGUGUUCAAAGCAGGCUCUCGAGCCUGGAUAAUGGUGCAUGGAAUAAUGGAAUAGGACCUCGGUUCUAUUUUGUUGGUUUUCGGAGCGCGAGGUAAUGAUUAAGAGGGACAGACGGGGGCAUUCGUACUGUGCCGUUAGAGGUGAAAUUCUUGGAUCGGCGCAAGACGAACGACUGCGAAAGCAUUUGCCAAGAAUGUUUUCUUUAA
rnacentral:ncRNA from 1 species